rfam:Gossypium hirsutum cultivar TM-1 chromosome 25, whole genome shotgun sequence
UGUUAAGAAUUUCAUUCAUUUGUACUAUUAAAAACUAGUGUGAUCAAUAGAAUAACCAGAUAAUGACCGGUGGUGUUUUAUGGAUACCUCAUGUUGAUGUAUAUAGAUAAAUUUUUAAGAGUAGAAAUGGAUAAAAAUUUUAACA